rnacentral:rRNA from 1 species
UAGGGAAUCCUCCGCAAUGGACGCAAGUCUGACGGAGCAACGCCGCGUGAGUGAAGAAGGAUUUCGGUUCGUAAAACUCUGUUGUUAGAGAAGAACAGCGCAUAGAGUAACUGUUAUGCGUGUGACGGUAUCUAACCAGAAAGCCACGGCUAACUACGUGCCAGCAGCCGCGGUAAUACGUAGGUGGCAAGCGUUGUCCGGAUUUAUUGGGCGUAAAGCGAGCGCAGGCGGUCAAUUAAGUCUGAUGUGAAAGCCCCCGGCUCAACCGGGGAGGGUCAUUGGAAACUGGUUGACUUGAGUGCAGAAGAGGAGAGUGGAAUUCCAUGUGUAGCGGUGAAAUGCGUAGAUAUAUGGAGGAACACCAGUGGCGAAGGCGACUCUCUGGUCUGUAACUGACGCUGAGGCUCGAAAGCGUGGGUAGCAAACAGG